UACGUAGGGGGCUAGCGUUGUCCGGAUUUAUUGGGCGUAAAGAGCGUGUAGGCGGCCAGGUAGGUCCGUUGUGAAAACUCGAGGCUCAACCUCGAGACGUCGGCGGAAACCCUCUGGCUAGAGUCCGGAAGAGGAGAGUGGAAUUCCUGGUGUAGCGGUGAAAUGCGCAGAUAUCAGGAGGAACACCGGUGGCGAAGGCGGGUCUCUGGGCCGAUACUGACGCUGAGGAGCGAAAGCGUGGGGAGCGAACAGG
rnacentral:rRNA from 1 species